UAGCUCAGUUGGUAAAGCAUCUGCCUGCAAUGCGGGAGACCUGGGUUCAACUCCUGG
rnacentral:tRNA from 1 species